UACGGAGGGUGCAAGCGUUAUCCGGAUUUACUGGGUUUAAAGGGUGCGUAGGUGGGUCUGUAAGUCAGUGGUGAAAUCCCCGAGCUUAACUUGGGAACUGCCAUUGAUACUAUCAGUCUUGAAUACCGUGGAGGUCAGCGGAAUAUGUCAUGUAGCGGUGAAAUGCUUAGAUAUGACAUAGAACACCAAUUGCGAAGGCAGCUGGCUACUCGGAUAUUGACACUGAGGCACGAAAGCGUGGGGAUCAAACAGG
rnacentral:rRNA from 1 species